rnacentral:rRNA from 1 species
GACGAACGCUGGCGGCGUGCUUAACACAUGCAAGUCGAGCGGUAAGGCCCUUUCGGGGUACGACGAGCGGCGAACGGGUGAGUAACACGUGGGUGACCUGCCCUCAGCUCUGGGAUAAGCCUGGGAAACCGGGUCUAAUACCGGAUAUGACUCCAUGACGCAUGUUGUGGGGUGGAAAGCCUUGUGCGGCUGAGGAUGGGCCCGCGGCCUAUCAGCUUGUUGGUGGGGUGANGGGCCUACCAAGGCGACGACGGGUAGCCGGCCUGAGAGGGCGACCGGCCACACUGGGACUGAGACACGGCCCAGACUCCUACGGGAGGCAGCAGUGGGGAAUCUUGCGCAAUGGGCGAAAGCCUGACGCAGCGACGCCGCGUGAGGGAUGACGGCCUGG